GUUUGAAGACUCAAGCUGCAUGAGGACAGGCAGAGCAGCUCUCUUCUCACUGGCCAUUUGCCAUGACAUCAGAGUGAACAUUGUGCAACCAGCGACCUACAGCUACAGCAUCCCCACCUUGAGCAGUGGCAAUGGCAGAGCAAAGCUGGGCAAACCAAGAGAAGCAGAGACCAGCUGCAGGGAGAUGCAGCGAGGCAGCAGGACAGUUCACCCACCUGCAGCUUUCAUCCUGUUGCCAGAGCUGGCAGGUGUUAUCCGGGUUGCCAGUCUUCCUGUCCAGUUGUACAUCCUCCAUCCUGAAAAAAUCUUUUUUAGCCUCUCAAGCCAGUCAAGUCCAAUGACAUCAAAUAUUAAUCUGGCACACAACUUGGGCUGUCCAAAUGCAUUUUAUAACCAACAGCAUAUCAAAUCCUUGGGACCUGAUGACAAUCACUCCUUUGUUGUCACACCCUUCAGUCACUUUAACCCAAAUUCUCAAAGGAAAGAUUGGUGCUUCAGAGGACUGAUUACAGCAAAAGUGCUUCAAAACAUGAAAGGAGGGAAGGCAGAGCUGCAACUCAUCACAAAAGAUCCUACCAUGAAAUCUAGAGAAUGAACAAGAAGCCUUAGAUGAUCUCACAGCAAGAGGCUCUGUUGUUAUUUUGUGCAGAGGCAGAAUUUCUCUGCAUGGUCAGAAUUCGGAGCAUCUUGGCUCUGGUAUUUGGGCUUGCAGCUCAGAGUUCUCUGUACAAGACUGCAACCAGUGAGAGAAAAUUAAAAAUUGACCCUAAAUUAUUCAAAGGAACCCAAGAAAUAAAAUAUAGGCUAAAGAAGAAUUCUUCUGAAUA
rnacentral:lncRNA from 1 species